rnacentral:rRNA from 1 species
UACGAAGGGGGCUAGCGUUGUUCGGAAUUACUGGGCGUAAAGCGUGCGCAGGCGGUUUUGUAAGACUGUCGUGAAAUCCCCGGGCUUAACCUGGGAAUGGCGAUGGUGACUGCAAGGCUAGAGUUUGGCAGAGGGGGGUAGAAUUCCACGUGUAGCAGUGAAAUGCGCAGAUAUCAGGAGGAACACCAAUGGCGAAGGCAGCUCGCUGGAACGGUACUGACGCUGAGGCGCGAAAGCGUGGGGAGCGAACAGG